UGCAUUGUGCUUAUCGCCCACAGGCUGCAGGAAUGGUGGAACGCUUGAACCAGACCCUGAAGACCAAGCUUGCCAAGCUGGUGGACCAAUCAGGCUCCACAUGGGUUAAAAUGUUGCCUGUUGCUUUGUUCCAGAUCAGAGUCCUUCCAGCAGGGAAGACAAGGUUGUCUCCUGCAGAGAUCAUCUAUGGCCGACCUCUGCGCACCCCCUGGACAGACAUUAUCCCGGCCACAAUGACAUUGCAUCACAUGACGGAGGAGAUGAUACGAAAUAAAUCGCUGAGAUGAGGGUCUUUGUGGCAUUAAUAUGUGUGGUGACCACUGCAGGGUUAAUCGGUUUUGGCUGGAAAUGGACAAAGCCUGAACAUGGACGGAACGAAUGAGGAAAGAGAGGGGAACGAGAAGACUCCAAUUUUUUCAUCCAGGCACACAACGAGCUAUUCGGGAAGGGGCAGGUGGUUUGUUAUCCACAAAUGACAUCAGUUACCUCCCUGUUUACCCCAUCCCCUGCAUGGGGCAGAACCGAACGAUUGGUGAAGUGCCAGG